GGGCUUCUUCUCCCUUGAGAAUAAUGAAUUAGGGUUGAGAGGCUCUCUCGUCCAGGGGCCAGGGGGUCUGGUUUUAUAGUCCCUUCAAGUGAAUAUGGGUCGUUGGAUCAAACCGACAUUGAUUGAACGGUUAUCCUUGAUCCAUUAGGUCGGUGGAGAUCUCCCACGAAGCAGAGUCCUGAUUGGACUCUCAGAGGGGGCGGGCGCCCUGCCUCUGGCCCCAUUUUGCCUCUGCUUCGGUCUCAUGGCUUCUGGAGUCUUCUAGAUGUAAGAUAAUUGCGCGGCACGUUACUCUCUAUGUAAUCCCGACGUGUGGGCCUUUCUUCCGUAUUUCCUGAUAACCCCCUGCGGAAAUAGACAAACACCAAAACUCGUGGAAUUCUGUCAGAUGAAACCCUAAGUCUAGAUGUUGAUUUCAUUUGGAUCCUUUUCUUUAUUUAUUUGAUAAUUAAAUUUGAUACUUAAGGACCGUCAACAAACUCCCCCAAGCUUACCUCUUGCUCGUCCCUGAGCAAGGAUAGACUCAGCGAUGGAUCAGAAGUUGUUGCAAUACUUUUAAAAAUUGACGGUACACAUGCUUUUAAAUGAGGUCUCAUCUCUGAGUUAGAGUAAACUGUCAAGACUUAAAACUUAUUCACUUUACCUUUCACCAUGGGACUUGUAACCGUCUCUUCUGUCUUCAGUAGUUAAAAGAUAGAACAGUCUAGUCAAGUGCCAUGUCUCUUAUUCUUGAUCAGCUAUAGCUCUGGAGUUUUUGCAGAUUUUCAAAUAAAACUCAGAGAUUCCUUGUAUGACUCUCUCAUAUCUCUCUUUUGUGGUAUUUCUGGAUCCUUACCAAGGCAAUGAUGGUAUAUGCCUUCUCUCAAAAAGUAUGUAGUAUUUGUGGUAUAAGGCAUAGUAACAUUGCCUUCUCUCUUACCGUACUCUAAUAAGGCUUUAAUAUCUGGAGCUCAUAGGUGGGAGAUAAAAGUAUACAUACUUACAAGACAUUUAUUGUAUAGUCAAACCAUGGAUCCAAAAAAACAAAUCAAUAAGUCAAAUCAAGAUGUGCAUGUGUGGCGAAUGAAUGGUGUAUGGUGAUGAUAGUGAUAACAAUGGUGGAAGUCUAAUUCUACUUUUGCUCUUUGAGGGGAUACAUACCUUCUUUGCUUUUUGAAACAUUUUGAGGAGAAUGAGAUGCUCUUCUUUUUUUCCUUUUCUCUCAGGUGGGUAUCUUGUACCCCUAAUUCUACUGUCGGACACUUGUCCAUUUUUAUCUCUCGUCUCACUUUUUCUUUUCUUUCGAGGUUCUGGGCACUUGCCCCUUUUUAUUUCCUCGUAUCUUUAUUUUUUCUCUUUUUUUCAGAGCACUCAUCUCUUGCGAUAAUAUAGCAAGUGGUAGUAACAAGAUAACUUGAGCAUUUAUUUCACAGGGAAAAACAGAAAUAUUUUUUGCUAUUCUCUCUCGGAUCAGGAGUAGAAUAAUUUUAGGUGCUUCUAGAGAUGGAAAUGGAUGGAUAUAUGUGGAUGGUACUUCCAGAGUAGAAGUAGCAUAUAUGAGUGAACGUGCAAGUGAAUCUUGAUUUUAACUACAUGACAAGCUCCUAAGGGUCUACACAGCUUGACCACAUUCAAUGCUCAUAAGCAGUAAAUAGUAAAUGUGUGGCUCAAAGUCCAUAUAUAUAUGGCUGUGGUAGGAAUUUAAACUCUCAUCAUACAGGAACUCAUUAUGCAACAUUUUAAAGAUUUUCAAAGAUAAAAUUCUCCAGAAUUCUAGCAUCUCUAGGAACAGAUAAACAGCAGCUCAACCUUCCCAUAUCGUAUCCGUUAACAACUUAGACUUCAGAUCAAGUUUUCAUCCCACAAGUUUAGGUCUAGAGCAAGCUUUAAAUUAUAACAGUUUUCUGAACUUGAGAGAGAACUUAAAAUGUACAAAUUAGGCAGAGCAACUAUUCAUCAUAUCCAUGCUUGAGUUUUAUUUAGAUAUAUCCACUUUAUUUAUUUAUUAAACACACUAAGCAAAAGAUAUAUAUAAGCGUAAAAUCUUUAUUUGGUUUUCCAUAGUUAUAUCUUAAUAUAGUAUAAGUAUAAAGAUAGAUAGAUAGAUAGAAAUACUUAUCGGGAAAAAUGGGGGUGCUCUCCCCCAAGCUGAAUUUUGACGUAAUUUCUCUUGAUGUAGUUGGCAGGUGGCAGAGGUGUAUUUGAAAGUCAGCAGCAUUCUCACAGCGAUUAAAAUGUCCUCCGUCUACUAGUCUUCUUGAUUCUUAAAUCCUGUGGAGCUCAAAUAGACAACAAAGCUUGUGGAACUGAUUAAGUGUUAGCAUAAAUAUCUAGCCUUUAUCAUGUUGAGACUCCUUAAUAAUUAUUACUCCCUAUUUUUAUAUUUUCAUUUUAUAAAGUAGAAAAGAAAUAUUUAUUUUAUUCUUAUGCCACCAUAGUGAAUGUACUUAUGGGUUUUAUGCCACUUGUAUACUCACAUGGGGCUUACUGUUUUUCAUAUUUUUAUUUUCUUUUUAAGAUAGUAUGAACAUGAUUAACUAAGCAAACUAUUUUUAAAUAAUUUGAAAGGGAAAAGGAUAACUACCAAGUUUACCUCUUGGCAAGGCG
rnacentral:lncRNA from 1 species